rnacentral:sRNA from 1 species
AUCAUUUAGGGAAAAUGCGCCGCAGCAAACAUGGAAUAAUCGACGAUAUAAAAGGCGUCGAUUAUUUUUUUUU